UAGCUACUGGAUCUCAACCAUUCAAGGCACUGGAUGUUCCAAAGCAUAAAGCCACCCUUCUGGAGAGGCAGCAGAAAGCAAGCUGGCAGCAGGCAUGCACCACUGUUUGGCCUGAGGACAGAUGACCAUCUCAUGUGUCCUGGGGAGCUACGGAAGGAUAGUGAGGAAGAAGCUGCUGGUGCAUAGAACAGAAACACAGCUGGUGGAACCAAGAAGCACCUACAGUGGGACUCAAGCUCAGCACCCUUCAGACUGAAGCCCUCUGAGCUAUAGUUCUGGAUUGGACUGUUUCUCCUCUACCAUCACCUGCAUGACACACAGUUCUGGAUGCUUUUGACUGGUUGGCUUCCUUUUCGUUCUGCCUUUUCUUUUUCUUUCCUUGGCCCUGAGAAUUAUUGAAAAAAAGAAAAAAGGAUUUACUUUAAAAAUUAUAAUUCUGUGCUAAAAUUCAUCUUGUUUAUGAACAAAUUCUGUCCAUAGAGGUUUUCUGAAUUGCAAUCCCAGGUUAUGUAGUAAAUGGGGCUGUGUCGUUUGACUUGUGCAGUACUGAUCCAUAGAUUAAAAAUACAUUUCUUUCCAUUUUUAAAGUUUGGAUCCAGGUAAUGGCCCAAGUCACAUUUGCUUAGCUACUGAAGCAAUCUCAAUGUGAUAUUGCUUGAAGUUGAAAUAUAGUCAAACAUAGAUUGUGUCUGGGGCUCUUGCACACUAUUUGAUGUAUAUGUUACACUACAAAGAAACACAAACCUGGAAGGUUGAAAUUUAAUUCUUGUCCAAUCCUGCAGAUAGAAUGGUGAAGACAUUAUAAAUAUCAGAAGUGUCUUCAAAUACCCUGAAUGUAAGCUAGUCAACAGUUAAGCAGAUGGUUUCAAAAUGCCAUUUUCUAAGACAAAGCAGGAAUUGGAGAUCAACUGACCUCAUCAACAGUGUUGCUUAGGUCUGUCUGUGGAUCUGCCUGUUUUGGAGGAGUUAAAGAACAACCAUGCUCCUGUGAUUGGGUUUAUGGGCACUGUGGUAUUUAUGACUUACGUUUUGUAACUGUGCCUUCCUUGCAAUAAAACACCUUUGGUUGACUCAG